ACUGCGAAGGGGGGACGGAGAAGGCUAUGUUGGCCGGGCGACGGUUGUCCCGGUUUAAGCGUGUAGGUGUGUGUUCCAGGUAAAUCCGGUUCACUUUAACACUGAGGCGUGAUGACGAGGCACUACGGUGCUGAAGUAACAAAUGCCCUGCUUCCAGGAAAAGCCUCUAAGCAUCAGGUAACAUCAAAUCGUACCCCAAACCGACACAGGUGGUCAGGUAGAGAAUACCAAGGCGCUUGAGAGAACUCGGGUGAAGGAACUAGGCAAAAUGGUGCCGUAACUUCGGGAGAAGGCACGCUGACACGUAGGUGAAGUGAUUUACUCACGGAGCUGAAGUCAGUCGAAGAUACCAGCUGGCUGCAACUGUUUAUUAAAAACACAGCACUGUGCAAACACGAAAGUGGACGUAUACGGUGUGACGCCUGCCCGGUGCCGGAAGGUUAAUUGAUGGGGUCAGCGCAAGCGAAGCUCCUGAUCGAAGCCCCGGUAAACGGCGGCCGUAACUAUAACGGUCCUAAGGUAGCGAAAUUCCUUGUCGGGUAAGUUCCGACCUGCACGAAUGGCGUAAUGAUGGCCAGGCUGUCUCCACCCGAGACUCAGUGAAAUUGAACUCGCUGUGAAGAUGCAGUGUACCCGCGGCAAGACGGAAAGACCCCGUGAACCUUUACUAUAGCUUGACACUGAACAUUGAGCCUUGAUGUGUAGGAUAGGUGGGAGGCUUUGAAGUGUGGACGCCAGUCUGCAUGGAGCCGACCUUGAAAUACCACCCUUUAAUGUUUGAUGUUCUAACGUGGACCCGUUACCCGGGUUGCGGACAGUGUCUGGUGGGUAGUUUGACUGGGGCGGUCUCCUCCUAAAGAGUAACGGAGGAGCACGAAGGUUGGCUAAUCCUGGUCGGACAUCAGGAGGUUAGUGCAAUGGCAUAAGCCAGCUUGACUGCGAGCGUGACGGCGCGAGCAGGUGCGAAAGCAGGUCAUAGUGAUCCGGUGGUUCUGAAUGGAAGGGCCAUCGCUCAACGGAUAAAAGGUACUCCGGGGAUAACAGGCUGAUACCGCCCAAGAGUUCAUAUCGACGGCGGUGUUUGGCACCUCGAUGUCGGCUCAUCACAUCCUGGGGCUGAAGCAGGUCCCAAGGGUAUGGCUGUUCGCCAUUUAAAGUGGUACGCGAGCUGGGUUUAGAACGUCGUGAGACAGUUCGGUCCCUAUCUGCCGUGGGCGCUGGAGAACUGAGGGGGGCUGCUCCUAGUACGAGAGGACCGGAGUGGACGCAUCACUGGUGUUCGGGUUGUCAUGCCAAUGGCACUGCCCGGUAGCUAAAUGCGGAAGAGAUAAGUGCUGAAAGCAUCUAAGCACGAAACUUGCCCCGAGAUGAGUUCUCCCUGAGACUUAGAGUCUCCUGAAGGAACGUUGAAGACGACGACGUUGAUAGGCCGGGUGUGUAAGCGCAGCGAUGCGUUGAGCUAACCGGUACUAAUGAACCGUGAGGCUUAACCUU
rnacentral:rRNA from 1 species